rnacentral:rRNA from 1 species
AGAAAUUGACGGGGGCCUGCACAAGCGGUGGAGCAUGUGGUUUAAUUCGAAGCAACGCGCAGAACCUUACCAGCGUUUGACAUGGCAGGACG